rnacentral:tRNA from 1 species
GGGGUAGCUCAGUGGUAGAGUGCAUGUUUAGCAUGCAUGAGGGCUUGGGUUCAAUCCCCAGCACUUCCA